rnacentral:rRNA from 1 species
UUCCGGUUGAUCCUGCCGGAGGCUACUGCUAUCGGAGUCCGAUUUAGCCAUGCUAGUCCACCGAGCUUUGCUCGGGGCGGAUAGCUGAGUAACACGUGACUAACCUGCCCUAUGGAUGGAGAUAACCUCGCUAACGUGAGGCUAAUAUCCAAUAGCAGAUGAUUGCUGGAAAGCGUCGUCUGUGAAAUGUUCCGACGCCAUAGGAUGGAGUCGCGGCUGAUUAGGUCGUUGGUGAGGUAACGGCUCACCAAGCCAGUAAUCAGUAACAGCCGUGAGAGCGGGAGCUGUCAGUUGGCUUCUGAGACAAGAAGCCAGACCCUACGGGGUGCAGCAGGCACGAAACCUUCACAAUGCACGAGAGUGCGAUGGGGGGACUCCGAGUGUAAUCUUCCCACAAGGAAGGUUACUUUUCUGCACUGUAAGGAGGUGCCGGAACAAGGGGUGGGCAACACUGCUGCCAGCCGCCGCGGUAAUAGCAGGACCCCAAGUGGUAGUCGUUAUUAUUGGGCUUAAAGUGUUCGUAGCCUGCCAUGCAAGUCCGCUGUGAAAUCCACGCGCUCAACGUGUGGGCGUGCAGCGGAUACUGUAUGGCUAGGGACCGGACGGCGUUGAGGCUAUUCCCGGAGUAGGAGUGAAAUCCUAAAAUUCUGGGAGGAGCACCUGUGGCGAAAGCGCUCAACGAGUACGGAUCCGACGGUGAGGAACGAAAGCCAGGGGAGCAAAGCGGAUUAGAUACCCGCGUAGUCCUGGCCGUUAACAAUGUGCGUUUGAUGUCGGACAACCUCCGAGGUUGUCCGGUGCCGAAGUGAAAACGUUAAACGCACCGCCUGGGAAGUACGGUCGCAAGGCUGAAGCUUAAAGGAAUUGACGGGGGAGCACCACAACCGGUGGAGGCUGCGGUUUAAUUAGAUCCAACGCAGAGUACCCUACCAGAGCCGACAGCAGGAUGACGGUCAGCUUGAAGAGCUUACCUGACGCGCUGAGAGGAGCUGCAUGGCCGCCGUCAGCUCGUGCUGUGAAGUGUCCGGUUAAGUCCGGUAACGAGCGAGACCCGCAUCACAUGUUGCCAUGGAUCCCUUCGGGGAUUCGGCACUCGUGUGAGACCGCUGGCGAUAAGCCAGGGGAAGGAGCGGGCCACGGUAGGUCAGUAUGGCCCGAAUGCUCUGGGAUACACGCGGCC